rnacentral:piRNA from 1 species
UAAACAGGUUAAGUAGCAGGUUGGGUU